UACGUAGGGUGCAAGCGUUAUCCGGAAUUAUUGGGCGUAAAGAGCUCGUAGGCGGUCUGUCGCGUCGGCUGUGAAAACCUGGGGCUUAACUCCGGGCCUGCAGCCGAUACGGGCAGACUAGAGUUCGGCAGGGGGAGACUGGAAUUCCGUGGUGUAGCGGUGAAAUGCGCAGAUAUCAGGAGGAACACCGGUGGCGAAGGCAGCUCGCUGGGACGGUACUGACGCUGAGACGCGAAAGCGUGGGGAGCAA
rnacentral:rRNA from 1 species